CUCCUACGGGAGGCAGCAGUAGGGAAUAUUGGGCAAUGGAUGCAAGUCUGACCCAGCCAUGCCGCGUGCCGGAAGAAGGCCCUCAGGGUUGUAAACGGCUUUUAUUCGGGAAGAAGAGCAGGGAUGCGUCCUUGUGUGACGGUACCGAAUGAAUAAGCACCGGCUAACUCCGUGCCAGCAGCCGCGGUAAUACGGAGGGUGCGAGCGUUGUCCGGAUUUAUUGGGUUUAAAGGGUGCGUAGGUGGCUUUAUAAGUCAGUGGUGAAAUACAGCCGCUCAACGGUUGAGGUGCCAUUGAUACUGUAGAGCUUGAAACAAUUGGAGGCUGCCGGAAUGGAUGGUGUAGCGGUGAAAUGCAUAGAUAUCAUCCAGAACACCGAUUGCGAAGGCAGGUGGCUACGUUUGAUUUGACACUGAGGCACGAAAGCAUGGGGAGCAAACAGGAUUAGAUACCCUGGUAGUCCAUGCUGUAAACGAUGAGGACUCGCUGUUGGGCUGUCACGGUCCAGCGGCUUAGGGAAACCGUU
rnacentral:rRNA from 1 species